AACGAACGCUGGCGGCAUGCCUAACACAUGCAAGUCGAACGAGACCUUCGGGUCUAGUGGCGCACGGGUGCGUAACGCGUGGGAACCUGCCCUUAGGUUCGGAAUAACUCCCCGAAAGGGGUGCUAAUACCGGAUAAUGUCUUCGGACUAAAGAUUUAUCGCCUUUGGAUGGGCCCGCGUUGGAUUAGCUAGUUGGUAGGGUAAAAGCCUACCAAGGCGACGAUCCAUAGCUGGUCUGAGAGGAUGAUCAGCCACACUGGGACUGAGACACGGCCCAGACUCCUACGGGAGGCAGCAGUGGGGAAUAUUGGACAAUGGGCGAAAGCCUGAUCCAGCAAUGCCGCGUGAGUGAUGAAGGCCUUAGGGUUGAAAAGCUCUUUUACCCGGGAUGAUAAUGACAGUACCGGGAGAAUAAGCUCCGGCUAACUCCGUG
rnacentral:rRNA from 1 species